rnacentral:misc_RNA from 1 species
GAGAGAGAAAGAGAGAGAGAGAGUGGACUCCAUUGGAUUUCAAGAACAAAACAUAAAGGCAGCAAAAGGAGGGUGUCAAGACAAAGAGAUCUGGCCAGGAAAUUUUCUUUUCUUUUUCUUUUCUUUUCUCUUUAGUAACAACUUCAAGAAACCUUCAUGGCUCCUCUAUCUCUCUUAUCUCUAUAAAGAAAUCUUCACUGAGAUUAUCACCACCAAAAGACGCCAAGAAAAGAUACAGAGAGAUAUCUUAGUUUCUAUUGCUUACUUACCCCCACCAAGAACCACUGAAUUAUAAAGUUACAUACCACCACGCACCAAUGCUGCUUCUUAGAAAUUCCUUAUCCAACACCAAAAAGUUCUUCCAGAAAUCCCUAGAAAGCUUCAAGUCUUUAUUUUCUGGUGGUUCUUACCAGAGGAUGCCCAAAACCUCCCCUUAUAAUAAUCCAUGUUCUUACAGUCAUCUCGCCACCGAUAUGAAUGUCCAAAGAAGCUUCAACACCAAAGAUUUGGACACGUUCUACAAUGACUUCAACGACCGGUGGGACACCAGUGAGGGGAAAGCAAAUAGAAGAAGCAAGAAGAAAAGAACACCACCAUCAUCACCAAUCAAACAAGAAAAUGAUGAGCUAAAGGGAAGUUUCAUGAAGUUUUCCAAGGCAAUUCCUGUCAAGGAUUAUCAGAUAAAAAGAGGAGAGGACUACAAUUAUAAUCAUAAAAACAAAGUGAAGGAUUUUCACGCAGGGAAAAGAUGGCAGGAAAAUAGUUCAAAUUAUAAGGAUACAAGAGAUCAGGGAAGGGGUUGGUUGGUGGCACAGAAGCUAAAAGAGGUAGAGAUGAUGGAUAUUAGCAAUGUGGAUCAUGUCCUGGACGUAGAAGAGGUUCGCCAUUAUUAUUCUCGCCUGACUUGCCCUGCCUAUCUGGACAUUGUAGACAAGUUCUUCAUGGACAUGUACGCAGAAUUCUUUGGUCCACCUAGAUCCCCACGCAGUGUGAAUUCCAGGCAAAUUAGGCUGCCUUCACAGAGAUCAUAGACUUUUCUCCUUUCAUGGAGAGCAACUGGGAAUUUCUGAUAAUAUUUCAGGUUGUCAUUAAUUUUUUUUUUUUUUUCAAAUAUUUCACUUACUCAUAUAUAAUAUUU